GACGAACGCUGGCGGCGUGCUUAACACAUGCAAGUCGAACGGAAAGGCCCUGCUUUUGUGGGGUGCUCGAGUGGCGAACGGGAGAGUAACACGUGAGUAACCUGCCCUUGACUUUGGGAUAACUUCAGGAAACUGGGGCUAAUACCGGAUAGGAGCUCCUGCUGCAUGGUGGGGGUUGGAAAGUUUCGGCGGUUGGGGAUGGACUCGCGGCUUAUCAGCUUGUUGGUGGGGUAGUGGCUUACCAAGGCUUUGACGGGUAGCCGGCCUGAGAGGGUGACCGGCCACAUUGGGACUGAGAUACGGCCCAGACUCCUACGGGAGGCAGCAGUGGGGAAUAUUGCACAAUGGGCGGAAGCCGGAUGCAGCAACGCCGCGUGCGGGAUGACGGCCUUCGGGUUGUAAACCGCUUUCGCCUGUGACGAAGCGUGAGUGACGGUAAUGGGUAAAGAAGCACCGGCUAACUACGU
rnacentral:rRNA from 1 species